UGCGUAGGCGGACUAAUAAGUCAGUGGUGAAAUCUCUCGGCUCAACCGGGAAACUGCCAUUGAUACUGUUAGUCUUGAGUUCGGUUGAGGUAGGCGGAAUGUGUAAUGUAGCGGUGAAAUGUUUAGAUAUUACACAGAACACCAAUUGCGUAGGCAGCUUACUAGACCGACACUGACGCUGAGGCACGAAAGCGUGGGUAGCGAACAGGAUUAGAUACCCUGGUAGUCC
rnacentral:rRNA from 1 species